rnacentral:piRNA from 1 species
UAGAACAUAAUUGGGCCAACCUGCCAAGUU